UACGGAGGGUGCAAGCGUUAAUCGGAAUUACUGGGCGUAAAGCGUGCGCAGGCGGUUUGUUAAGUCUGCUGUGAAAUCCCCGAGCUCAACUUGGGAAUUGCAGUGGAUACUGGCAGGCUGGAGUAUGGUAGAGGAAGGUGGAAUUCCCGGUGUAGCAGUGAAAUGCGUAGAGAUCGGGAGGAAUACCAGUGGCGAAGGCGGCCUUCUGGACCAAUACUGACGCUCAUGCACGAAAGCGUGGGGAGCAAACAGG
rnacentral:rRNA from 1 species